CCGCAAAGCAGAUUACAAAUGAUAACUUUGAAAAAGGGUAUAAACACUUCAAAUUCAAGCUUUAGAGAAAGUGAAUACAAAUUUAAAGUUCAAACUUAACCCUUACUUUGGAUAAUAGCUCUUGGCUCUCAGGAGGCUGUUUGCUUAAACUUUGAGGUAAUAUAACUGUAAGAAAAUCUGGUUUCUCUGCCCUUAAAGCACCUCGGAUAACAGCAGCAUUAGUCCCAGAUGCUCCAGAUGUAUAUAUGUGGUUUUUCUACAAACAAAAUUUUAGAACAAAUGCAUAUCAAGUUAUGACUUACGAGACACCCAGCUACAGGAGUUGUUAAUAGUAUCUUGCGUUUUACGAGCAAGCAUAAGAUACUCGAGUGAAAUCACAGCAUCUUACAGUUAUAACCAUAGCAUAGCUCAGAAUCUCAAUUAGUUCCUGGUGCAUGAAUCCCAUGUUACGCGUUCCAAAAAAGCCAAUAGCUCUAGGUCCUUGUUGUUGAAUGGCCAAUAACUCCUGUAAAAGAUCAAUUCAAAAUAUUAUGCAAUUUAGACAACUGAGGUUGCUUAAAGCUUUCAGGUUGCAACGAAAAUAAGAUAAGAUUAUGAAAGUUUGUCAGUUGUGUCAAAAUGCAAUGUCGAAGUAAAAAACUAAUGCCUUGAACUUUUAAAUAAAGUAACACGUGCAAUUAGGAAAAAAGAAAAGCUAGCCAUGACCAAUGUUGUGAAAAUCUAGAUUCUACAUAGGAUCAGGGAGGAGGUGCAAGAUCAUAAAUCGUAAAAUCGAAAAUUGGAUCAUAAGCUUCUGCCAUGGAUUUAAAUUUUAAAACCUACUUAAACCCUAACCCCAAUAUAAGUCAUAAUCUAAAUCCAUAACCGUAAGUGUACAAGAACAUGAAAAUAAAAGACAAAAGAUGAAAAGAAAACAAUCCAAGUGUCCAAUCAGAGUGACCAAAAACAGAGUGCAGUGGUAGAAACCGAAACGGAGUGUGAGAGUUAUUGAAUCGAGAUUCGAAUCGUGAAUCGAAAUUCGAAUCGUGAAUCGAAAGACCUAUUUCUGAUUCGUUCAUAGCUUACUUUUAUCAUCUAUUUUCUGUCUUAUCUCUUAUGUUGCUACUGAAACAUCAAACAUACAUGAGCAGAAAACCAAAGGGAAGCUAGAAAAAUAACCCCACCCUAAAUGAAGUCACUUGAAAUUAAGGAAACUAAAUAUUUAAUUGAUUUAAUUGAUUCUUACUUUGAUAUGUGAUGUUAAAAUAUAUAUAUAUAUAGAUACAAGGGAAGGACUGAAGAUCAUCCUAAAUCACUACGAUAUGAUCCUAUAAUAUUAAUAUGCAGGAAAUCAGAUAAAAUCAAUUCAUAUAUUAUUAGAUUACUCAUAAUCUUACAUGUAGUCUCAAGUCUCAACACUACCCAUCAAGCUAAGGCUUAUCUGUCAAACGCAUCAAACUAGAUACACAAGUAUGCUAUCAUCAGUCCUAAAAAAAUUGGUGAAAAUAUCUGCCAGCCAAUUAUGUGCCUAUGCAUUUCAUUUUUUUUAUAAAAUUAAUAAUAACAGAGUGUAGUGUAAAAUUCAGGCUUGUCAUUCCCGGAUAGUGGAGCAUAGCAGCCGACCCAAAAAAUCGUAUAGCGGGAUAGCCGCUACACUGAAGAAGAAGGAGGAGGAAGAAGGCUGGACGAUGCCGGAGAAGUCAAUGGAAGGGGCCAGAAGGUGGUCCAAACUGCGGACGUACAUGAGUAAGGGAGGAGAAAGGUUGAAGGGGGCAAGCACAAAACGAAAGUUUGGUCUUUUAGGCGCCUCAUUGGUAUUAUAAGAACCAAAAAACAAGAAAUACCCCCAACUAAUAGAACUGAAAAAUAAAAAAUAGUAAAAUACACACAACUAAUAGCCCCAACAUUCUAAUUCCAAGGGCAUUCUUGACUUUUAGGAACCUUCUAUUUCAUUUAGAAGAAAAGAACCCUAAUCCCUGUGGCUGCGACGACCACAACCGUAAAACGCUCCGCGACGGAAAGCUCUGCAGCGGCAAAAGGCCAAUCCGCUGCGCAGUAGCGCAUUGAACCACUAUAGUGCGCGAUUGACAAGCCUGGUAAAAUUAUAGUGAGAAUAUAGAAACAUUUGGAGCAAUUUGCAAUUGGAGAGUAAUAAAUAUUUACAAUUUGAUAAUCUUGAUCUUUAAAUCAUUACAUAAGUAGUAUGAUAUAUUUAUAGUUUUACCUUUGUAUAUUCAAAUUUAAAUAUUUUUACCAUUUUGAUAAUAUGCACCUUGAAGGUUAAGGUAUAAAAAAACAUUUAUCACACAUCAUAGCUCCAUUACUAGGAAUUAUCUAUAUGCUUCAUGGAUUUACACCUAAGGGCACACACUAACCAAACACAUUAUUAAUUAAUUAUUUAAUAAUGGUAGUCUUGGAUAAUAAAAAACUAGAGAUGAAAGAAAGAAACUCCCCUUCUAAUAGAUAUAUAGAUUAAGCCCCUUUUUGGAAGGGUUUAUUUGAGUUUAUCUUAUAGCAUAAGUGGUUAUGCAAGAGAGAACUUACGUAAACAGCUUAUGACCAACCUAUAAACUCUUUUGAGCUUAUUUUCAUAAACUACUCAAAUCAGCUUAUGAAUAAGCGUUUAUACCUACCUAUAACCUAAUCUAAGCUUAUUUCGAUAAGCUUCUCAAAUUAGCUUAAACAUAAGCGCUUAUGUGAUAAGCUCUUAUUGCCAUAAGUGCCGAAUAAAUUUAUUUACCCAAACACGUCCUAAAAUUACGUCAUACCUUCACUGAGAAUAAACAUAACACAGACAAGGAGAUAGAAGGAGAGAUGUUCAGCAAAUAAACCUACCAUACCGCAAAGCAGAUUACAAAUGAUAACUUUGAAAAAGGGUAUAAACACUUCAAAUUCAAGCUUUAGAGAAAGUGAAUACAAAUUUAAAGUUCAAACUUAACCCUUACUUUGGAUAAUAGCUCUUGGCUCUCAGGAGGCUGUUUGCUUAAACUUUGAGGUAAUAUAACUGUAAGAAAAUCUGGUUUCUCUGCCCUUAAAGCACCUCGG
rnacentral:lncRNA from 1 species